UACACUCCUACGGGAGGCAGCAGUGGGGAAUAUUGGACAAUGGGCGCAAGCCUGAUCCAGCCAUGCCGCGUGAGUGAUGAAGGCCCUAGGGUUGUAAAGCUCUUUCACCGGUGAAGAUAAUGACGGUAACCGGAGAAGAAGCCCCGGCUAACUUCGUGCCAGCAGCCGCGGUAAUACGAAGGGGGCUAGCGUUGUUCGGAUUUACUGGGCGUAAAGCGCACGUAGGCGGACUAUUAAGUCAGGGGUGAAAUCCCGGGGCUCAACCCCGGAACUGCCUUUGAUACUGGUAGUCUUGAGUUCGAGAGAGGUGAGUGGAAUUCCGAGUGUAGAGGUGAAAUUCGUAGAUAUUCGGAGGAACACCAGUGGCGAAGGCGGCUCACUGGCUCGAUACUGACGCUGAGGUGCGAAAGCGUGGGGAGCAAACAGGAUUAGAUACCGAGUAGUCCCAUG
rnacentral:rRNA from 1 species